AGUUUGAUCCUGGCUCAGGACGAACGCUGGCGGCGUGCUUAACACAUGCAAGUCGAACGGAGCGCCUAUGAAGGAGAUUUCGGUCAACGGAAUAGGUUGCUUAGUGGCGGACGGGUGAGUAACGCGUGAGGAACCUGCCUUUCAGAGGGGGACAACAGUUGGAAACGACUGCUAAUACCGCAUAACACAUAGGUGUCGCAUGGCAUUUAUGUCAAAGAUUUAUCGCUGAAAGAUGGCCUCGCGUCUGAUUAGCUAGUUGGUGAGGUAACGGCUCACCAAGGCGACGAUCAGUAGCCGGACUGAGAGGUUGGCCGGCCACAUUGGGACUGAGAUACGGCCCAGACUCCUACGGGAGGCAGCAGUGGGGAAUAUUGGGCAAUGGGCGCAAGCCUGACCCAGCAACGCCGCGUGAAGGAAGAAGGCUUUCGGGUUGUAAACUUCUUUUGACAGGGAAGAGUAGAAGACGGUACCUGUCGAAUAAGCCACGGCUAACUACGUGCCAGCAGCCGCGGUAAUACGUAGGUGGCAAGCGUUGUCCGGAUUUACUGGGUGUAAAGGGCGUGUAGCCGGGUUGACAAGUCAGAUGUGAAAUCCUGCGGCUUAACCGCAGAACUGCAUUUGAAACUGUUGAUCUUGAGUACUGGAGAGGCAGACGGAAUUCCUAGUGUAGCGGUGAAAUGCGUAGAUAUUAGGAGGAACACCAGUGGCGAAGGCGGUCUGCUGGACAGCAACUGACGGUGAGGCGCGAAAGCGUGGGGAGCAAACAGGAUUAGAUACCCUGGUAGUCCACGCAGUAAACGAUGAAUACUAAUUGUCCGGUCAGAAUGAUGACUGGGUGAUACAGCGAAAGCGUUAAGUAUUCCACCUGGGGAGUACGCCGGCAACGGUGAAACUCAAAGGAAUUGACGGGGGCCCGCACAAGCGGAGGAACAUGUGGUUUAAUUCGAUGAUACGCGAGGAACCUUACCCGGGCUCAAACGUAGAAUGACAGACGGUGAAAGCCGUUCUCCCUUCGGGGCAGUCUACGAGGUGCUGCAUGGUUGUCGUCAGCUCGUGCCGUGAGGUGUCGGCUUAAGUCCCGCAACGAGCGCAACCCUUAUCCUUAGUAGCCAGCGGGUAAAGCCGGGCACUCUAGGGAGACUGCCAGGGACAACCUGGAGGAAGGCGGGGAUGACGUCAAAUCAUCAUGCCCCUUAUGGCUUGGGCUACACACGUGCUACAAUGGCGUAAACAAAGGGAAGCGAGCCUGUGAAGGUAAGCAAAUCCCAAAAAUAACGUCCCAGUUCGGACUGUAGUCUGCAACUCGACUGCAUGAAGCUGGAAUCGCUAGUAAUCGCGAAUCAGAAUGUCGCGGUGAAUACGAUCCCGGGUCUUGCACUCACCGCCCGUCA
rnacentral:rRNA from 1 species